GUGAACGCUGGCGGUAGGCCUAACACAUGCCAGUCGCACGGCAGCACAGUAAGAGCUUGCUCUUACGGGUGGCGAGUGGCGGACGGGUGAGGAAUACAUCGGAAUCUACUUUUUCGUGGGGGAUAACGUAGGGAAACUUACGCUAAUACCGCAUACGACCUACGGGUGAAAGCAGGGGAUCUUCGGACCUUGCGCGAUUGAAUGAGCCGAUGUCGGAUUAGCUAGUUGGCGGGGUAAAGGCCCACCAAGGCGACGACCCGUAGCUGGUCUGAGAGGAUGAUCAGCGACACUGGAACUGAGACGCGGUCCAGAGUCCUACGGGAGGCAGCAGUGGGGAAUAUUGGACGAUGGGCGCAAGCCUGAUCCAGCCAUACCGCGUGGGUGAAGAAGGCCUUCGUGUUGGAAAGCCGUUUUGUUGGUGAAGAAAAGUAGCAGGUUAAUACCCCGCUGUUCUGACGGUACCCAAAGAAUAAGCACCGGCUAACUUCGUG
rnacentral:rRNA from 1 species